rnacentral:rRNA from 1 species
UACGUAGGGGGCAAGCGUUGUCCGGAUUUAUUGGGCGUAAAGAGCGUGUAGGCGGCCAGGUAGGUCGGCUGUGAAAACUCGAGGCUCAACCUCGAGAUGUCGGCCGAAACCAUCUGGCUAGAGUCCGGAAGAGGAGAGUGGAAUUCCCGGUGUAGCGGUGAAAUGCGCAGAUAUCGGGAAGAACACCCGUGGCGAAGGCGGCUCUCUGGGACGGUACUGACGCUGAGACGCGAAAGCGUGGGGAGCGAACAGG